rnacentral:ribozyme from 13 species
GAAGAAAGAAGAACACCAAAAGUUUCCAAAAAGAAAGGAUCAGAUAAUUGAAAAAAAUCAUUCAAUUUUCCAUUUAAUUCCCAAAUUUUGUUUUUUUCUUCUUCUUUUUCUUCUUUUGAAUGUUCCAUAUUUUUUUCAAAAA